CUGAUCUCAAAUCAGGUAGGACUACCCGCUGAAACUUAAGAUCUCAUUUAUUCAAUAAAUGAUCCUUCCGAAG
rnacentral:rRNA from 1 species